GGGGGCCCCCGGUGGGGCUGGACUACAACUCCCAUCACCCCCAGCCUCGCCAGGCCAGGCCUCAGGGAUGAUGGGAGUUGUAGUCCAGCCCCACCGGGGGCCCCC